UUAAGCGACUAAGCGUACACGGUGGAUGCCCUGGCAGUCAGAGGCGAUGAAGGACGUGCUAAUCUGCGAAAAGCGUCGGUAAGGUGAUAUGAACCGUUAUAACCGGCGAUGUCCGAAUGGGGAAACCCAGUGCAAUUCGUUGCACUAUCGUUAACUGAAUACAUAGGUUAACGAGGCGAACCGGGGGAACUGAAACAUCUAAGUACCCCGAGGAAAAGAAAUCAACCGAGAUUCCCCCAGUAGCGGCGAGCGAACGGGGAGCAGCCCAGAGUCUGAAUCAGCUUGUGUGUUAGUGGAACGGUCUGGAAAGUCCGACGGUACAGGGUGAUAGUCCCGUACACCAAAAUGCACAGGCUGUGAACUCGAAGAGUAGGGCGGGACACGUGGUAUCCUGUCUGAAUAUGGGGGGACCAUCCUCCAAGGCUAAAUACUCCUGACUGACCGAUAGUGAACCAGUACCGUGAGGGAAAGGCGAAAAGAACCCCGGCGAGGGGAGUGAAAAAGAACCUGAAACCGUGUACGUACAAGCAGUGGGAGCACCUUCGGGUGUGACUGCGUACCUUUUGUAUAAUGGGUCAGCGACUUAUAUUCUGUAGCAAGGUUAACCGUAUAGGGGAGCCGCAGGGAAACCGAGUCUUAACUGGGCGUUAAGUUGCAGGGUAUAGACCCGAAACCCGGUGAUUCAGCCAUGGGCAGGUUGAAGGUUGGGUAACACUAACUGGAGGACCGAACCGACUAAUGUUGAAAAAUUAGCGGAUGACUUGUGGCUGGGGGUGAAAGGCCAAUCAAACCGGGAGAUAGCUGGUUCUCCCCGAAAGCUAUUUAGGUAGCGCCUCGUGAACUCAUCUUCGGGGGUAGAGCACUGUUUCGGCUAGGGGGUCAUCCCGACUUACCAACCCGAUGCAAACUACGAAUACCGAAGAAUGUUAUCACGGGAGACACACGGCGGGUGCUAACGUCCGUCGUGAAGAGGGAAACAACCCAGACCGCCAGCUAAGGUCCCAAAGUCAUGGUUAAGUGGGAAACGAUGUGGGAAGGCACAGACAGCCAGGAUGUUGGCUUAGAAGCAGCCAUCAUUUAAAGAAAGCGUAAUAGCUCACUGGUCGAGUCGGCCUGCGCGGAAGAUGUAACGGGGCUAAACCAUGCACCGAAGCUGCGGCAGCGACACUAUGUGUUGUUGGGUAGGGGAGCGUUCUGUAAGCCUGCGAAGGUGUGCUGUGAGGCAUGCUGGAGGUAUCAGAAGUGCGAAUGCUGACAUAAGUAACGAUAAAGCGGGUGAAAAGCCCGCUCGCCGGAAGACCAAGGGUUCCUGUCCAACGUUAAUCGGGGCAGGGUGAGUCGACCCCUAAGGCGAGGCCGAAAGGCGUAGUCGAUGGGAAACAGGUUAAUAUUCCUGUACUUGGUGUUACUGCGAAGGGGGGACGGAGAAGGCUAUGUUAGCCGGGCGACGGUUGUCCCGGUUUAAGCAUGUAGGCUGAUUGUCCAGGCAAAUCCGGAUAAUCAAGGCUGAGGUGUGAUGACGAGGCACUACGGUGCUGAAGUAACAAAUGCCCUGCUUCCAGGAAAAGCCUCUAAGCAUCAGGUAACAUCAAAUCGUACCCCAAACCGACACAGGUGGUCAGGUAGAGAAUACCAAGGCGCUUGAGAGAACUCGGGUGAAGGAACUAGGCAAAAUGGUGCCGUAACUUCGGGAGAAGGCACGCUGGUGUGUAGGUGAAGUCCCUGCGGAUGGAGCUGAGACCAGUCGAAGAUACCAGCUGGCUGCAACUGUUUAUUAAAAACACAGCACUGUGCAAACACGAAAGUGGACGUAUACGGUGUGACGCCUGCCCGGUGCCGGAAGGUUAAUUGAUGGGGUUAUCCGUAAGGAGAAGCUCUUGAUCGAAGCCCCGGUAAACGGCGGCCGUAACUAUAACGGUCCUAAGGUAGCGAAAUUCCUUGUCGGGUAAGUUCCGACCUGCACGAAUGGCGUAAUGAUGGCCAGGCUGUCUCCACCCGAGACUCAGUGAAAUUGAACUCGCUGUGAAGAUGCAGUGUACCCGCGGCAAGACGGAAAGACCCCGUGAACCUUUACUAUAGCUUGACACUGAACAUUGAGCCUUGAUGUGUAGGAUAGGUGGGAGGCUUUGAAGCGUGGACGCCAGUCUGCGUGGAGCCAACCUUGAAAUACCACCCUUUAAUGUUUGAUGUUCUAACGUUGGCCCCUGACCGGGGUUGCGGACAGUGUCUGGUGGGUAGUUUGACUGGGGCGGUCUCCUCCCAAAGCGUAACGGAGGAGCACGAAGGUUAGCUAAUCCUGGUCGGACAUCAGGAGGUUAGUGCAAUGGCAUAAGCUAGCUUGACUGCGAGCGUGACGGCGCGAGCAGGUGCGAAAGCAGGUCAUAGUGAUCCGGUGGUUCUGAAUGGAAGGGCCAUCGCUCAACGGAUAAAAGGUACUCCGGGGAUAACAGGCUGAUACCGCCCAAGAGUUCAUAUCGACGGCGGUGUUUGGCACCUCGAUGUCGGCUCAUCACAUCCUGGGGCUGAAGUAGGUCCCAAGGGUAUGGCUGUUCGCCAUUUAAAGUGGUACGCGAGCUGGGUUUAGAACGUCGUGAGACAGUUCGGUCCCUAUCGCCGUGGGCGCUGGAGAAUUGAGGGGGCUGCUCCUAGUACGAGAGGACCGGAGUGGACGCAUCACUGGUGUUCGGGUUGUCAUGCCAAUGGCACUGCCCGGUAGCUAAAUGCGGAAGAGAUAAGUGCUGAAAGCAUCUAAGCACGAAACUUGCCCCGAGAUGAGUUCUCCUGAGACUUUAAGUCUCCUGAAGGAACGUUAAAGACGAUGACGUUGAUAGGCCGGGUGUGUAAGCGCAGCGAUGCGUUGAGCUAACCGGUACUAAUGAACCGUGAGGCUUAACCU
rnacentral:rRNA from 1 species